rnacentral:rRNA from 1 species
CGCAAGCCUGACGGAGCAACGCCGCGUGAGGGAGGAAGGCCUGUGGGUUGUAAACCUCUUUUCUCAGGGAAGAAGCUCUGACGGUACCUGAGGAAUCAGCAUCGGCUAACUCCGUGCCAGCAGCCGCGGUAAGACGGAGGAUGCAAGCGUUAUCCGGAAUUAUUGGGCGUAAAGCGUCCGCAGGUGGCGAUUCAAGUCUGCUGUCAAAGCACGGGGCUUAACUCCGUUAAGGCAGUGGAAACUGAAUGGCUAGAGUGCCGUAGGGGUAGAGGGAAUUCCCGGUGUAGCGGUGAAAUGCGUAGAGAUCGGGAAGAACAUCGGUGGCGAAAGCGCUCUACUGGGCCGUGACUGACACUGAGGGACGAAAGCUAGGGGAGCG